ACAACUUUGAGCGAUGGAUGUCUCGGCUCAGGCAACGAUGAAGGACGCCGCUAAAUGCGAUAAGCGCUGUGAAUGGCAGAUUUCCGUGAAUCAAAAGAAUGUUGAACGCAUACUGCACCUUUUGGGUCAAACCAAAAGGU
rnacentral:rRNA from 1 species